AAGAUACUAGUAAAAUUCUAUAACACUGCCUUGUCAAGGCAGAAUCGUGGGUUAAAGCCCCGCGUAUCUUG
rnacentral:tRNA from 1 species